rnacentral:rRNA from 1 species
GCCUGCCCAGUGACCAUGUGUUCAACGGCCGCGGUAUUCUGACCGCGCGAAGGUAGCGUAAUCACUUGUUUUCUAAAUAAAGACUAGUAUGAACGGCCACACGAGGACUUAACUGUCUCCCUUGUCCAAUCAGUGAAACUGAUCUCCUCGUGCAGAAGCGAGGAUAUCACCAUAAGACGAGAAGACCCUAUGGAGCUUUAAACUAGUAUCAACUAUUUUUAACUUCUCUCCAAGGAAUUAACAGAUAACCAAAUAUGCUUGAUACAAGUUUUAGGUUGGGGCGACCAUGGAGAAAAAGAAAUCCUCCCUGAUGACUCACAAACCAAGAGCCACGGCUCUAAGUAUUAAGAUACUUAACUUCCAUUGACCCAUUUUAUGAUCAACGAACCAAGUUACCCUAGGGAUAACAGCGCAAUCCAUUUCAAGAGUCCCUAUCGACAAAUGGGUUUACGACCUCGAUGUUGGAUCAGGGCAUCCAAGUGGUGCAACCGCUACUAAAGGUUCGUUUGUUCAACGAUUAAAGCCCU